UACGUAGGUGGCAAGCGUUACUCGGAAUCACUAGGCGUAAAGCGCAGGUAGGAGGUUUGGUAAGUCUGUUGUGAAAGCUCCCGGCUUAACUGGGAGAGGUCAACGGAAACUACUAGGCUAGAGUGCGGUAGAGGUAGCUGGAAUUCCCGGUGUAGCGGUGAAAUGCGUAGAUAUCGUAAGGAAGACCAGUGGCGAAGGCGGGUCUCUGGACAGUUCCUGACGCUGAGGCACGAAGGUCAGGGGAGCAAACGGG
rnacentral:rRNA from 1 species